rnacentral:rRNA from 1 species
UUACUGGGCGUAAAGCGCGCGUAGGUGGUUUGUUAAGUUGGAUGUGAAAUCCCCGGGCUCAACCUGGGAACUGCAUUCAAAACUGACUGACUAGAGUAUGGUAGAGGGUGGUGGAAUUUCCUGUGUAGCGGUGAAAUGCGUAGAUAUAGGAAGGAACACCAGUGGCGAAGGCGACCACCUGGACUAAUACUGACACUGAGGUGCGAAAGCGUGGGGAGCAAACAGGAUUAGAUACCCCGGUA